UUCCGCCAGAAAAUUACGUGCGAAAGCCUAAAACUCAAAAGACUUGACGGUGUCCCAACCUUCCUAGAGGAGCCUGUUCCGUAAUCGACAACCCACGAUACACCUAACCACCUUUUGUAACAUCUAUCUCAGCCUAUAUACCGCCGUCGUACAGCCUACCUUUUAAAAGAUUACAAGUAGGCUAAAUAGUAAUAUACUAAUAAGUCAGGUCAAGGUGUAGCUUAUAAGGUGGAGGAAAUGGGCUACAUUGUUUACAUUAAACAAUACGAAUUUAUACCCUGAAAAAGAAAAUGAAGGCGGAUUUAGCAGUAAUUUAAACAAGAAUAUUUAAAUUAA
rnacentral:rRNA from 1 species